UCAAAUUAGAACUCAGAAUUAAGGAACUAGUCAAAACCGCACAACUAUAUGGAAACUGAAUUCUGUGGGCAUUUAGUGCUAUAAAUUUCAUGAUAUCCUGUCAUUUGCAACAACAUUAAUAGAACUGGAGAUCCUUAUGUUAAGUGAAAUAAGCCAGGCACAGACAGACAAACUUUUCCUGUUUUUACUUAUUUGUGGAAACUAAAAAUAAAAACAAUUGAGCUCAUGAACCUAGAGACUAGAGGAUGGUUAACAA
rnacentral:lncRNA from 1 species